rnacentral:rRNA from 1 species
UACGUAGGGGGCAAGCGUUGUCCGGAAUUAUUGGGCGUAAAGAGCGUGUAGGCGGUCCGGUAAGUCAGCUGUGAAAGUCAAGGGCUCAACCCUUGAAUGCCGGUUGAUACUGUCGGGCUAGAGUCCGGAAGAGGCGAGUGGAAUUCCCGGUGUAGCGGUGAAAUGCGCAGAUAUCGGGAGGAACACCAAUGGCGAAGGCAGCUCGCUGGGACGUUACUGACGCUGAGACGCGAAAGCGUGGGGAGCAAACAGG